ensembl:lncRNA
UCUAAACCAGGUCUAAACCAGGUCUAAACCAGGACUAAACCAGGUCUAAACCAGAACUAAACCAGGACUAAACCAGGACUAAACCAGGACUAAACCAGGACUAAACCAGGACUAAACCAGGACUAAACCAGGUCUAAACCAGGUCUAAACCAGGUCUAAACCAGGUCUAAACCAGGACUAAACCAGGUCUAAACCAGGUCUAAACCAGGUCUAAACCAGGACUAAACCAGGUCUAAACCAGGUCUAAACCAGGUCUAAACCAGGACUAAACCAGGACUAAACCAGGUCUAAACCAGGACUAAACCAGGUCUAAACCAGGACUAAACCAGAACUAAACCAGGACUAAACCAGGUCUAAACCAGGACUAAACCAGGUCUAAACCAGGUCUAAACCAGGACUAAACCAGGACUAAACCAGGUCUAAACCAGGACUAAACCAGAACUAAACCAGGACUAAACCAGGUCUAAACCAGGACUAAACCAGGUCUAAACCAGGUCUAAACCAGGACUAAACCAGGACUAAACCAGGACUAAACCAGGACUAAACCAGGACUAAACCAGGAC